UUAGGUCAAGAAAUGCUGUAUAAAGGACAUAAGGAGUGUGUCACCUUAAUAGCGGCGAUGAUGAUGUGCUUGAUUCUGUGUGUUAGUGAGGAUAGGCUAUCACUGGUUAGCUGGUAUUGGUAGAGCGGGGCACCACCACAGUGAAAUGUAUCAAGUUAUUUAUAUUACAGCAACACUUACAAAUUAACUCAUCCAUUUCCCUUCAAGCAAUAGUUCUAACACCUUUAAUUUAAUGAUUGAAUGUUUCCUUCCUUCUUUUUUCAUUUCCUUGUUUUCUCUGACACAUUUUCUCUGAUUUUUCGUUUUUCUUCAGUUUUCUCUCUCAUCCAUUCUCUCUCCUCCUCCUCCUCCUCCUCUGUCUAUCUUUAUUCCGUCCUUUCUUUUAAUGUCUAACUUAUCUUUUGCUUGAUCUUUCUGGUGGUCAAAUCUUGCAUCUCAUUUCCUAUCAUUCAUUAUCUCUCCUCCUCCUCCUCCUCCUCUCUGUCUAUCUUCAUCCCUUCCUUCCUUUUAAUAAGUCCAAGUUAUCUUUUGCUUAAUUAACAUUUAUAAUUCUUUCUGGUGGUCAAAUCUUGCAUCUCAUUUCCUUUUGUCCAUUCUCUCUCCUCCUCCUCUUCCUCCUCCUCUCUAUACAUCUUCAUCCUUUCCUUUCUUUUAAUAAGUCCAAGUUAUCUUUUGCUUAAUUAACGUUUAUAAUUCUUUCUGGUGGUCAAAUCUUGCAUCCCAUUUCCAUUCGUUCAUUCUCUCUCCUCCUCCUCCUCCUCUCUAUAUAUAUAUCUUCAUCCCUUCCUUCCUUUUAAUUAAUGUCUAAGUUAUCUUUUGCUCAAGGUUCUUUCCAGUGUGUUUGUGGUGUCCGGCUCUGCUUGCUAGUUUGUUUUGUCACUGUAUAAUUGUCAGUCCUAGUUUUUGUCACUGUAUAAUUGUCAGUCCUAGUUUGUUUUGUCACUGUAUAUUUGUCAGUCCUAGUUUGUUUUGUCACUGUAUAAUUGUCAUUCCCAGCCAGGCGCCUCUUCCAUGUAAAGAUAUCGGCAGCUUCAAGCCUUGCCGAUAUCUCAAUCCGUACGUGAAUGUAAAUUAACCGAAAUCCUUGUUACUAAGCCCUGCACGGUGCUCUCUCACAUAAUGCUUCUUUAAAUUUUCAGUCUCACUUAACUUCCGGGGUUAGUAAUAUAUUUUGCCAUGAGUUAACUCCCCGUGAUGGCCAGUUUCAUGUAAUAUAUAUAAGUAAUUUGCCUUUUGCAUGGCUGUAAUUCUGCAUCAGUGUCUAAGGCCCAGUUUCACAGUUCCUCAUGAUAGGUUAGUAAGCUCCGAAACCAAUACCAGAGCCUUCGAAAUUUCCUUGUACGGUGUCUGGAGUUUAUAUUCAAGUUCACAAAUUUGACGAGACUAUACAGGAAAGGUCUUGUGUGUUUAUGCUACGAAGGAAAGGGAGGAGAAGGGAGAUGAGAUUGGGAGACGAGUGAGCCGAGAUCCUGUUUAUAUUCAAGUUCACAAAUUUGACAAGACUAUACAGGAAAGGUCUUGUGUGUUUAUGGUACGAAGGAAAGGGAAGAGAAGGGAGAUGAGAUUGGGAGACGAGUGAGCCGAGAUCCUGGUUAUAUUAAAGUUCACAAAUUUGACAAGACUAUACAGGAAAAGCUGUGUUUAUGAUAUGAAGGAAAGGGAAGAGAAGGGAGAUGAGUAAGCUGAGAUCCUGUUUAUAUUCAAGUCCACAAAUUUGACGACACAAUACAGGAAAAGCUCUUUGUAUUUAGUGUGUCAUCGAAGACCGCGCUAUUUUGAACAGUAUGGGAUUCUAUAGCUUGGUUCGGGAGUGUUACAAAGAUUGUGUUGGACUGUGGAAGCGGCCCUUAAUGUUCCCUUUUCUAAUAUGCCUCUCUGUUUUUGCAGGAUGCCGCGGACGGACCAUGCAGAGGACUCAUCGCGACGACACCAACGGUUUGGUUAAGUGGGUUCUCUUGUGUGUGCGUCUGUGUGUGAAUGGCAGGCCUGUCGUAUGAUUGUGUGUGUGUGUGCGUUGGCGGUAUGCCUUCGCACUAUUAUUUUGUUAGGAUGUAUUUUUUUGUGUGUGAACUUUUUGCACGUAAUCUUUUUUUAUACCCAUAGCUAGCGUUUGUUUGUGUAGCUGUGUUCCGGGAGAUGGGCGCCGGGGGACAUGGGCUGGGGGGGGCGCACGUGACCUCCUCUGUCCGUGACCUCUUCAGCUGGGGAGACCGCGUGUUGCCCCGGCUGGAGAGACACGUUGAUGGAGGCGGCUGCGUGUGUCGUCCCUUGCCUGUAUCCUCUGGCGUCCAGAGGCGCGUAAGUGGAGAGCAUCGGCGCAGCGCGGGAGCAGCACGUCAGGGUGUAGGGUGUUUGUUUAGCUGGUGUAGGGUGUUAGGGUGUUAGGUGUAACAACGGUUGGCUCUUUCACAGAACGGGUGUGAUUCCGUUCUGCGUUUGAGUCUUCCACCUUCAGACGGUCUCCCUCUGAGAUGUCUGAAGUUUUUUUUGUCGGUUUUCUCCGUAGGAGGAAGCCGGCUCUAGCUACUCUGGCCUCUCUUCCGGGGGUCAGAGCGGUCGGGCUCUGCUUGGCCAGGCGUUAGUCUUUCGCGUUGUCUCCGCCGACGUUUUGCCAGACUCUUCCGUAAGGUUGAGCCUGGCUUUUUUAUUAGGUGGAUCAGGCUGCCUUCUUCCAAGGAGUCUGAUGGGAGUGGAGUCUUUUUUUUGGUGUAUGUCUGUGGGUACUUAGUGGGUAAGGGAGGGUGGGGUAGAAUGGUUGGUGGGCUGGAAGUGGGUUGGGGGAUGAGCCUCCUGGGAUUUGGGUUGUGUCGAGCCUUACUGCCUGGUGUGUUGGGUAAACCUUCACACCAGGGGGGGGGUGCCAAGACUAUAUCCAUCUCCUGGUGCAGGGCGAUUCCCCUUUCCCAUGCUAACUGGCCCUCCUCCGUCUGCCUCCCCAAACCCCCGCUAAGUGCUUGUGUGUGUUAUUUUAUUUAGGAUGUCUUUUUUUUGUAUGCCUUUUUCCCGUGUGUUUAUACCCAAUAGCUAGCGUGUGUGUGUGGCAGUCCGGAGGCGCGUGCAGCGAGGACAUCACAUCACGUCACUACGGUAUAUCCACGGUAUUUGGUUUAGUGUGUGCUGUGUGUGUUUGUGUGUGUGAUGGCAGGCCUGCCGUGUGUUUGAUCUUUUGCUGUGUGUUGCUGUGUGACUGCUAGGAUUUCAUUUCUAUGUAUGUUUUUUUCCCCAUAACCCCCUUCCUCCCUAGCUCUUUAGCUGUUGUCCCUGGCUAGGCGCUGGGUGGAUGCUGCCGGGCGACCAACGGCGGUGGCGGUGUGCAACGCGGGAGCUGCUGAGGUUUGGGUAGCACUACGGUGCAGGUUAUGUAGGGUGUGUGAGUUUUUUUUUUGUGUGAGUGUCUUUUUUUUGUGUGGGGACUUAGCUAAUCACUGUGUCAGGAAGGCAUGGGCGUGGCCGUCUGUCCAUCAGGCCGACGGGCGGGUGUGCCACCUGGCAGUCAGGCUAGCAGGUGACAGGCAAGCUAUCUGGUGGUCAGGCUGUCAGUCGGGCCAUCAGAUAGGUAGGCAGGCCACCUUGCGGUCAGGUUGUCGGGCGGGCACCCCACCCUCGGUCAGGUAGGCAGGCAGCAGCGUCUACGCUGAACCGUACGGCCACACGUACGAACGCACGGAACCCGUACGCUACGUUCCGCCGCACUGACGCUCGUCGUACCUCUGCUCGCACG